AACGAACGCUGGCGGCAUGCCUAACACAUGCAAGUCGAACGAGACCUUCGGGUCUAGUGGCGCACGGGUGCGUAACGCGUGGGAACCUGCCCUUAGGUUCGGAAUAACUCCCCGAAAGGGGUGCUAAUACCGGAUAUUGUCUUCGGACCAAAGAUUUAUCGCCUUUGGAUGGGCCCGCGUUGGAUUAGCUAGUUGGUAGGGUAAAAGCCUACCAAGGCGACGAUCCAUAGCUGGUCAGAGAGGAUGAUCAGCCACACUGGGACUGAGACACGGCCCAGACUCCUACGGGAGGCAGCAGUGGGGAAUAUUGGACAAUGGGCGAAAGCCUGAUCCAGCAAUGCCGCGUGAGUGAUGAAGGCCUUAGGGUUGUAAAGCUAUUUUACCCGGGAUGAUAAUGACAGUACCGGGAGAAUAAGCUCCGGCUAACUCCGUG
rnacentral:rRNA from 1 species